AGAAUAAAGAAAGAGGUUGGACCAUCCCCUGGUGUGUGUGCAGUGAACAUAACAAGUGGAGGCUUGGCAAAUAGGCUUCGGGAGACCAUUCCAUGAGGUCAACUGCAGCAACAGGAGUCCGGAAGUGGACCUGAGAUGGGGUCGUCCUUGAAGGAAUAGGACUAGCCAGACAAGCUGCACACCUGACAACUUCUGAGAACCAGGAGAGGGCUGCCUCAAGAUUAUCUCUCAGCCAUUCUAUAGGAACCUUUUCCAGCAGGCUUUUGUGGUGCCUGGCCCUUUAACUUUGGGAAUGAUGAGCAGCUGCUGCCCUAAGGUGAUCAUUUUGCAUUUGAACUGCUGCAGGCUACACCUCCCUCCCUUCCAGCUGAUAUGCUGGAUAUAGAAAACGCUAAACAGAUCGGGGCCCAGGAAGGAUUCAUAACCUCACAUAGAGGAGUGGUAUGUGGUUGAAAACCAGGCAAUUCUUCACUGGAUCAGAAUGGUAGCGAGAGGAAGAGACACCAGGAACCUGGCAAGGUAUUCUGAGAGACUUGCUGAAAGAAAGAUGCUUUUUCACACACAUCAUCAAAGAGAAGGCUCCACUGUCUUCUCCUCUGCUGUAGAAAAAGGACAGGAACUCAUCCUAGGAGGUGCUCAGCUUUGGAAGCUCAAACUGAUGGAAGUUUAGGGUACUCAGCACCUUGGAGAAUUGGUCCCAGAUAAACAAAUAUUUAAUGGAAAUUUUUCAAAAUAGAGGGCCUCCUUCCCUUUUGUAGGCUGAAUUUGCACUGGCAAAUGUAGGGCCCAACUGUUCAUUCUGACAAAUGUUAUGGAAGCACAUCCGAGGAGCUGCACCCCAGGUUGCAAAAGUAAAUCAAACAGAGGCAUAGAAUUUGCCCAUGAUUUAUUUGCAGGUAAAGUUUAUGCCCACAAACAAGAAGACGUGGUCUCCGCCUAGAUCAAAAUAUUUCUUUUACAGAUUCAUUUGUUAAACUUUUACACAUUUUUGAUGCCCAAAAGUAGGGAGUUUGCACUGGAUAGUUGCUUAUUCCUAUUCUCAAAUGACCUAGAACAUAACAGUACAAUAUAUUUCAGAUAACUCUAAAAAUGGUAGUUUUCUGUAAGGCACUUUAAGAGUUAAUGCUCUAGGCCUCAUUGCACACAAAUGUAGUACUAAGCCUGUGUCACUUCUAUAUUAUGUAUUAAUAAAGGACUUCU